rnacentral:rRNA from 1 species
UGAGGAAUAUUGGGCAAUGCCCGCAAGGGUGACCCAGCAACGCCGCGUGGAGGAUGAAUGUCGUAAGAUUGUAAACUCCUGUUAGAGGGGAAGAAUAGUACCGGUUGGACCGGUAUAUGACUGUACCCUCGGAGAAAGCCCCGGCUAACUACGUGCCAGCAGCCGCGGUAAUACGUAGGGGGCAAGCGUUGUCCGGAUUUACUGGGUGUAAAGGGCGCGCAGGCGGGAUAAAAAGUCAGUGGUGAAAUCCUACAGCUUAACUGUAGAACUGCCUUUGAUACUUUUAGUCUUGAGUUCGGGAGAGAGAGACGGAAUUCCAGGUGUAGUGGUGAAAUACGUAGAUAUCUGGAAGAACACCAGUUGCGAAGGCGGUCUCUUGGUCCGACACUGACGCUGAGGCGCGAAAGCGUGGGGAGCAAACA